CCUCUAUCUCUUAAUCAAGACACAGCCUGCCCUUUCCUGUGCAUUGCUGCCUGCCUCCAGACCGCACGCCUCCUCUGCCUCCCUUUCCCUCUCUCGCUGCCUCUCGCUCGUACACUCUCUGCCAUGCACUUUCAUUCCCUUUGCUCUCUCUCUCGCUCUUGCUCUGCUUGUCCUCUCUGUAUCCCAGACUCGCAGGUUUGCAGUGUAAAUACUUGAGCAUCUAUGCAUUGGCUUAAUUUCAUUUCUACAGUUUUCUUUAUCUGGCAGUUCAUUCAGCCGAUCAUAUCUUACAAAGAGGAACUAAAGGAGACCGCGGAGGGCUACAAUGAGAAGAAAAGACACAGGAGAGACAGGAGGGACAAGAAUGCGACUCAAGUAGAAGACAGCGGACGCACAUCACCUCAAAGUGCCUGGAUGUGCUGGAUGCUGCAGCAGCCUCGUGCCGGCGCAUGCUUUUCCCCACACUGCUGUUCCCUGCAGCCCUGACUGUGUAAGUGUAUCUGUGAUUGCGCUUGGCCUUGACUCGGGCUGUGUUUCACUCUGCGAAGCAAACAGUCCUUCGGCCCGUUUGCUGUUCCUCGAUCCCAAG
ensembl:lncRNA